GACGUAGGAGGCGAGCGUUAUCCGGAUUCACUGGGCGUAAAGCGCAUGUAGGCGGUUCGUCAAGUCGUGUGUUAAAGCCCCUGGCUCAACUGGGGGAGGUCAUGCGAGACUGACAGACUUGAGGGCAGUAGAGGCACGUGGAACUCCCGGUGUAGCGGUGGAAUGCGUAGAGAUCGGCAGGAACACCCAGGGGGAAACCAGCUGCCUGGGCAAGCGCUGACGCUGAGGUGCGAGAGCGUGGGGAGCGAACCGG
rnacentral:rRNA from 1 species